rnacentral:lncRNA from 1 species
CGCAAAGGAGAAAUGAGAGAAGAGGAAACGAGUCAGUAGCAUGCCUGUGUGGCGUGCUUCAUGCAGCCCUCACACGAACAUUUACUGGAGACUGUUUCAUCCUGCAGUGCUGUACCACCGCUUCCUUCAUCAGGAUAGACCUUGUAGAAGACAGGCGCAACCCAGACUUCAUCAAGCCUCCCUAAAGGAACAGACCAAGAGACGAAUCCGGCAGAGGAAAACAAUGAAGCAAAGCUACUUCUUUCUGGUUCUACUGGUCGUGGUAAAAGGGGAACAGUCUUCUAACACAACAUUCAGUACAACGUCAGCUAAUAUUUCAAACAUUACUAAUCAGGCUAUGGUCAAAACCACCAAGUCUUCAACCAUAACCACAGAAGCAUCCAAAACAAUUAGCAGCAGUAAACCCAAUAAAACCCCCUGCCCGACCAGUUCCACGACAACAUCAAGCUUCUCUUUGAAUCUCGAUUUGAAAACCACGAUAGUGAUGGGAGCCCUGGUCCUGGUCAUCAUUGUUCUGAUUGUCACCACUUUAACACUGGCCUGUCAUGUGUGUUACCGGAAGCACCGAAGUGACAGCUACCGUCCCGCCAGCAGCAGUCCGGAGGCCGGGAGGAGCCUGGGGACUGCUGACCGAGGGCCUGAUGAGAAUGCAGUCAUGCUGCAGGAUGUGUUAAAGGAUGAGGUUCCAGUCAAGGUGAACAUCGAGACAGAGGCCGCAGCGGCUGAACAGAGUCAGGAGGCCCAUGAAGAGCCAGCUGAAAGCUCCACAACUGAGGAAAAUCCCCCGGAAAAUGGAUCUGCAGGGAUGCCCCCCACACCUACUGAGCAAAAAUAAAUUCUUCCAUGUCACCAAUCAUCUAACAAGUUAUAGAUUUCAGUCAUUUAGAUCACAUUUUUGAUGAAUUGUUUAAUAAAUUCCUUGAAACUUUUAAGUACUUUCA